rnacentral:rRNA from 1 species
UACGUAGGAGGCGAGCGUUGUCCGGAGUUACUGGGCGUAAAGGGUGCGCAGGCGGUGGUGCACGUGGAUAGAUGAAAUCUCCCGGCUUACCUGGGAGGGUGGUAUCCAGACGGCAUCACUUGAGGGUCGGAGAGGGGCGUGGAAUUCCGGGUGGAGCGGUGAAAUGCGUAGAGAUCCGGAGGAACACCGACGGCGUAGGCAGCGCCCUGGACGACACCUGACGCUGAGGCACGAAAGCUGGGGGAGCGAACAGG